UCCCGUGUGGCUCAGUUGGUAGAGCAUUGUGCUUGCAACACCAGGGUUGUGGGUUCAAUUCCCACGGGGAA
rfam:Salmo salar isolate Sally breed double haploid chromosome ssa07, whole genome shotgun sequence.